rnacentral:snRNA from 1 species
ACUCAUGUUUCUCUUCAUAGCGUAUAAAUCUUUCGCCUUUUACUAAAGAUUUCCGUGGGGAGGAGCACAAUGAAUAUAAACUAAUUUUUUGAUGCUCUGCUAAAUUGCGGGGCU